rnacentral:rRNA from 1 species
GGGAUUAGAUACCCCACUAUAUUUAGCCUUAAACUUUUAUUCGCCUGAGCAUUACGAGCCACAGCUUAAAAUUCAAAGGACUUGGCGGUGCUCUAUANCCCCCUAGAGGAGCCUGUUCUAUAAUCGAUAAUCCCCGAUAAACCUCACCACCCCUUGCUAAUACAGCUUAUAUACCACCGUCCUCAGCUUACCCUUUGAAGGAAAAAAAGUAAACAAAAAAAUUUAAAAUAAAAAAGUCAGGUCAAGGUGUAGCAUAUGGGAUGGAAAGAAAUGGGCUACAUUUUCUACUUUAGAAAAUACGAAAUGUCUUAUGAAAUAAAAUAUAAAGGAGGAUUUAGAAGUAAAGAAAAAAAAGAGUGUUCUCUUUAAACAGGCAAUAGAGCACGCACACACCGCCCGUCACCCUCCUCAAA